rnacentral:rRNA from 1 species
CGCAUGGGGUGUCGGGAAAGAUUUCAUCGGUAUGGGAUGGGGUCGCGUCCUAUCAGGUAGUCGGCGGGGUAACGGCCCACCGAGCCUACGACGGGUAGCCGGCCUGAGAGGGCGACCGGCCACAUUGGGGCUGAGAUACGGCCCAGACUCCUACGGGAGGCAGCAGUGGGGAAUAUUGCACAAUGGGCGCAAGCCUGAUGCAGCGACGCCGCGUGCGGGAUGACGGCCUUCGGGUUGUAAACCGCUUUUGAUCGGGAGCAAGCCUUCGGGUGAGUGUACCUUUCGAAUAAGCACCGGCUAACUACGUGCCAGCAGCCGCGGUAAUACGUAGGGUGCAAGCGUUAUCCGGAAUUAUUGGGCGUAAAGGGCUCGUAGGCGGUUCGUCGCGUCCGGUGUGAAAGUCCAUCGCUUAACGGUGGAUCUGCGCCGGGUACGGGCGGG